rnacentral:rRNA from 1 species
GACGAACGCUGGCGGCGUGCCUAAUACAUGCAAGUUGAGCGAUGAAGAUUGGUGCUUGCACCAAUUUGAAGAGCAGCGAACGGGUGAGUAACGCGUGGGGAAUCUGCCUUUGAGCGGGGGACAACAUUUGGAAACGAAUGCUAAUACCGCAUAACAACUUUAAACAUAAGUUUUAAGUUUGAAAGAUGCAAUUGCAUCACUCAAAGAUGAUCCCGCGUUGUAUUAGCUAGUUGGUGAGGUAAAGGCUCACCAAGGCGAUGAUACAUAGCCGACCUGAGAGGGUGAUCGGCCACAUUGGGACUGAGACACGGCCCAAACUCCUACGGGAGGCAGCAGUAGGGAAUCUUCGGCAAUGGACGAAAGUCUGACCGAGCAACGCCGCGUGAGUGAAGAAGGGUUUCGGAUCGUAAAACCCUGUUGGUAGAGAAGAACGUUGGUGAGAGUGGAAAGCUCAUCAAGUGACGGUAACUACCCAGAAAGGGACGGCUAACUACGUG